rnacentral:rRNA from 1 species
AUUGAACGCUGGCGGCAGGCUUAACACAUGCAAGUCGAGCGGGGUGAUGGUGCUUGCACUAUCACUUAGCGGCGGACGGGUGAGUAAUGCUUAGGAAUCUGCCUAUUAGUGGGGGACAACAUCUCGAAAGGGAUGCUAAUACCGCAUACGUCCUACGGGAGAAAGCAGGGGAUCACUUGUGACCUUGCGCUAAUAGAUGAGCCUAAGUCGGAUUAGCUAGUUGGUGGGGUAAAGGCCUACCAAGGCGACGAUCUGUAGCGGGUCUGAGAGGAUGAUCCGCCACAAUGGGACUGAAACACGGCCCAGACUCCUACGGGAGGCAGCAGUGGGGAAUAUUGGACAAUGGGGUGAACCCUGAUCCAGCCAUGCCGCGUGUGUGAAGAAGGCCUUAUGGUUGUAAAGCACUUUAAGCGAGGAGGAGGCUCUUUUGGUUAAUACCCAAGAUGAGUGGACGUUACUCGCAGAAUAAGCACCGGCUAACUCUGUGCCAGCCGCCGCGGUAA